UGGGGAAUAUUGGGCAAUGGGCGAAAGCCUGACCCAGCAACGCCGCGUGAGGGAAGAAGGUCUUCGGAUUGUAAACCUCUGUCCUUGGGGACGAAAAAAAUGACGGUACCCAAGGAGGAAGCCCCGGCUAACUACGUGCCAGCAGCCGCGGUAAUACGUAGGGGGCAAGCGUUGUCCGGAAUUACUGGGCGUAAAGGGUGCGUAGGCGGUUGCCUAAGUCAGAUGUGAAAUCCCCGGGCUUAACUCGGGGGGUGCAUUUGAAACUGGGCGGCUAGAGUGCAGGAGAGGGAAGCGGAAUUCCUAGUGUAGCGGUGAAAUGCGUAGAUAUUAGGAGGAACACCAGUGGCGAAGGCGGCUUUCUGGACUGUAACUGACGCUGAGGCACGAAAGCGUGGGGAGCAAACA
rnacentral:rRNA from 1 species